rnacentral:misc_RNA from 1 species
UUAAGUUCAGCGGGUAGUCCUACCUGAUUUGAGAUCAAACGUUCAAGAAGCUGUCUUCACUGAGGAGAGACAUUUAUGAGCUCCAGUGAACCUCCAUCACUGAAGGUUAUCCAGUAGAAAACCACAAAGCGUAGAUAUUUAUCACACCUGCGACGCUACCAAACACUGGCGAGCUGAUUCAUUUGGGAGGAGCCGACCAC